rnacentral:misc_RNA from 1 species
CUUAAAGUGGAGGGAGAAAGUCGGGAUAAUGGCAAUGGGGUUUGCAGUAGAGAGGGAGAAAUGGGCAGAGAAAACCAAAGGCGAAUUAUGAGGAGAGCCAAAGAGGCCUAAACCUGACUUGAGAGAUACAGAGAUAGGAGAAAAUGGAGUGGUGGUGGUGGUGGUGGUGGGUGGAGAGUAGGAGAGUUUGAGAGAAGGACCUGAAGGAAAAUUGGUGGAAACAGAGAAUUGGAGGUCUGAAAAUGAAUUUGUAGCAGUGGUGAAGAUAGAAGUGAAAGGCUGAUUGAAUAUUGAAAUGGGUAAUUUGGCUUUUAGGAUAGGAUUGCCAUUGUUGUCAUCAUCUGGGAGAUUGAGAGAGAGCUUCAUUUCUCUCUAACUUUUUCUUUAACGGGUCAGGGAAUUUUGGGUCAGUAAAUUCCGAUCAUUGUUAGGAUGGAGGAAGACGAUUGAUGAACGACAGGGCUCAGUACGUCCGGUGGCCGGAGAAAAGAUCAGAAGAGGGAAGAAGAAAUCCACCAAAUUCCAAUGUUGACAAAGCUACUGGCCGAG